UACGAAGGGGGCUAGCGUUGCUCGGAAUCACUGGGCGUAAAGCGCACGUAGGCGGACUUUUAAGUCAGGGGUGAAAUCCUGGAGCUCAACUCCAGAACUGCCUUGAUACUGGAAGUCUUGAGUUCGAGAGAGGUGAGUGGAACUGCGAGUGUAGAGGUGAAAUUCGUAGAUAUUCGCAAGAACACCAGUGGCUGAAGGCGGCUCACUGGCUCGAUACUGACGCUGAGGUGCGAAAGCGUGGGAGCAAACAGG
rnacentral:rRNA from 1 species